AUUGAACGCUGGCGGCAGGCCUAACACAUGCAAGUCGAACGAGUGGCGGACGGGUGAGUAAUGUCUGGGCAACUGCCUGAUGGAGGGGGAUAACUACUGGAAACGGUAGCUAAUACCGCAUACCAUCGGAUCUGCCGAUGUGGGAUUAGCGAGGAGGUGGGGUAACGGCGCAACUAGGCGACGAUCCCUAGCUGGUCUGAGAGGCUGACCAGCCACACUGGAACUGAGACACGGUCCAGACUCCUACGGGAGGCAGCAGUGGGGAAUAUUGCACAAUGGGCGCAAGCCUGAUGCAGCCAUGCCGCGUGUAUGAAGAAGGCCUUCGGGUUGUAAAGUACUUUCAGCGGGGAGGCGUUACCCGCAGAAGAAGCACCGGCUAACUCCGUGCCAGCAGCCGCGGUAAUUC
rnacentral:rRNA from 1 species